UACGGGGGGGGCAAGCGUUGUUCGGAAUUACUGGGCGUAAAGGGCUCGUAGGCGGCCCUCUCAGUCGGAUGUGAAAUCCCCAGGCUUAACCUGGGAACGGCAUCCGAUACUGGAGGGCUUGAAUUCGGGAGAGGGAUGCAGAAUUCCAGGUUUAGCGGUGAAAUGCGUAGAUAUCUGGAGGAAUACCGGUGGCGAAGGCGGCAUCCUGGACCGAGAUUGACGCUGAGGAGCGAAAGCUAGGGGAGCAAACGGG
rnacentral:rRNA from 1 species